rnacentral:lncRNA from 1 species
GAUUAAAAUUUUAUAUUUUUAAAUUUAAUAAAAUUUACAAAAGCACAAUCACAUUCGCACAAUAUUUUACAAUCAAUGCUUUGCACCACCAUCUUGAGAUACCUACUAACAAUUCUUUUUUAUGUCUAAACUUUUUCAUGCUAUAAAACCUAAAAUACUCACUAACAAUAUCUUUUUUAUGAGGUGGCUAGCCAUUGUUUUGCUAUUGACGGAAAAAUACUCAUUUCCGUAUCCGUUCUCUCUCUAAUCAUAAUCAUGCCAUCGCAGAAACUUUUAAAGCAGUCAAAGAGGCAUUUUGACCUCAAACUGCUGAAAAUAAUCCAGUAGGCCUCCUUCAUGUUUAUCAAGUUCUGUCUUUUCACGCAUUAACUCUCAUCUUGACUUGAAAAGAUGGUGUCUUCAUUUUUUUUUUUCCUUCUAUUAUUUUCUUCUUGGUAUUCAUUGUAUAUUUGCAAGGAAGAAAAGCAAUAGAGCAAGCUGAUUCAAUAGAUUUGAACUACCAGAAAAUUACAAAUUCAAAAUUGUAUCAAAAUGAGUGUGCAAGUUCCACAUGCUAUACUGUUGUCUUAUGAUUAUUUAUUGUGUAUCCUAGUAUGAAAUCUAAGCAAUUAGACAUUAAAACUUGUGCAUGUUUUUAUAAUUUUUCUGCACUUUUUUGUAGUUGUUGCAUUAUUGGAGAAACAAGUCUAGCUAUGAAAUCAAGAUAGGAGUUGUGCAAUUCUAACAGGUCUUAUUAUACAAUUCUCUAAAAAAAUAUGCAACAGUUAUCAAGCAAUGCAUGUUGUCCAUAAGAUUAGUGUAUAACUAACUUUUUCAAGAUACGCAGUAUGGGACAUGAAAGUUUAACGAGUGAUUGGAUGGUCAAACAAAUUAUGCUCCAGAUAGAUUUUCAUGUACAAUGAACAUUCAAGAAGAAAUGAUGAGAUGGAAACCUUCCAGACACGAGCAUAUAUACAAUCCCAAAACAUUAGUAUUCAUUCAAUUUGAAGGGUGAUUUAUUUUAUCCUCCUCUUUUAAGAAUUCUAUAUUCCCAAGUUGUGCAGGCAAAUAAAGAUAAGGGUGGCAAAACUUAGACUCGAACCCGUUAACCCACAUGCAGCAAUCCAAAGUAAACAGGCUUGGAGUGGUCACUUUAAAUCUGGGGCAGAAAUGUAUCAAUCGAAACCAACCCAUCUUAUAAAUGGAUUGUGGGUUGGGAGGUUAUUAUUGUUAUUGUUAUUAUUAUUAUUAUUAUUAUUAUUAUUAUUAUUAUUAUUAUUAGUAAUUAACCUCAACCCACUUCAACCCUAAUCAAAUCCAACCAUUGCUACCCCUACUUGACCUGAACCUACUGAAGAAAACAUAAGUAGUUUCAUAUAUGCAAUUUAAAAUUUUUAGUGGAAAUAAUUUAGAUUAAAUAUUUUAAUCAAUACGCAUGCACCAGAUCAGAUCUAAAAACUACCUAUAAAGGAUCAUAUGACAAGAAUAUUAUGUAUGAUCUGAUUUCUAAGCACAAUUGAUCAUAUCAAUAAUGUAGUAGAUGAUAUCUAUAUUAAACUAGAUCAUAUCUAUUUUGAGAUCAGAUCUCAUACCCAAACAUGGGUAGCUAAUCGUCGCAACUGUCAAUCGAGGUAAAAGAUUUUUUCUAAUGCUGAGCAGCUGCACAGAGUGUUCAGCCUCUACAGGAUAUCCACACAAAAUCCUGGCACUGAUCGAUCUCUCCGAGAGUGCUAGCUCAUGUGGAGACCUUCUUGAUGGCUGACUUGUGCUCCUUCUUCAAUCUCUCAAACUCUUCAAAAGAUGAAGAUGGAACUAGGAGGAUGUGAGAUGGUGGAAGAAGAAUAAUAGGAGAAUCUCUAUUCUCUCUUUUUCUCACUUUUUGAAACCUAGAUGAAACCCUAGGCCACUCACCCAAGAGGAGACGGUUCUUCUCUAAUUCUCACACAUCAAAGAAGGCCGCCCACCCCAAAUCCUCAUGCCCCACUCUCUUGGUGAAACUCCUCUGAUUUCUCAUGGUAAAAGCCCUAUGUUUAUCACACAAAAUAGACCCCAUCUUAUGGUGGGCAGUGAGGAGUGGAUAGGAUUAGAUAAGGACUAGGUAGUUUAGUUUAAAUUCAAACUCAAUUUAAAUUCAAAGCUUAACCAAUCGAUCCCUUAUCCAGAGAGGGCAAUAAGAGGCUUGAAUGUGUGGAGUUAUCUCAUGCAAAUUCUAAAUUUGCAAUGAGAAAUAUGGCAUAGAGAAAGUAUGGCGCAAGGGGAUAAGAUCCAAUUCGAUUGGACUCUAAGUUUAUCCAAUUAGGUCCACAUCCAAAUCAAAUUAGGUUAGACCCAAUUAGACAAUCGAACCUAAUCUGAUUAGGCACUAAAUCAAAUUAAUUAAAUUCUAAUCUAAUUAAAAAUUAAUCAAAUCUAGAUCCUGAUCAAAUCAUAAAUCAAAUAUCCUUAGUGAUUAGAUCAUCUUAUAACCUAAUCGGGUCAAACCUAAUUGAAUCUAAUUCAAUUAGACUUGAUCUAGACUUCAAUGCUCAAUCAAAUUGAGCUAAUCAGCAAUCUAAUUACUAAUUAAUUCUACUAUAAUUCACUAACUUUAAUGAAUUAUUAUAUCACAACUUUUACAUAAGGUUAACCAUCAAUCAUAUUGAUGAUUAUACCCUUGAACGAUUCUCAAUCAUUGAUCAGCCAUCUGAUCAGACAGAAAUUUUCUUUGUGUGUGAUCCCAUAGGUUCAAACCUAACCUAGUAGCAUAGAAAUAAAUUUUUAUACUAAUUGAAGUAACCAUCUAGCAAUGAUACCCAACAUUUGGAUAAACAGAAUAAUUGCAAAGCAACACUCAAGAAUCCUAGCAUAUAGUUACCGUAUAAUUCAUUCCUUUAACCCUCAAUGCUUAGGAUGACUCAGAGUUAAACUAUCAACUCUUAAUCAAUAUAUCUAUAAUGUGUCUUAACUUUAUAAAUCCUGUGACUCCUUAUAAGAAUUAUCCUGACUAAGAUUUUGCUGAAUUGAAAUAUAAUGUAAUACUAUCUUUUGAAACCAAGAGC